rnacentral:rRNA from 1 species
UGGGGAAUAUUGGACAAUGGGGGCAACCCUGAUCCAGCAAUGCCGCGUGUGUGAAGAAGGCCUGCGGGUUGUAAAGCACUUUCAGUAGAGACGAAAAGCCUAGGGUUAAUACCCCUGAGUCUUGACUUAACCUACAGAAGAAGCACCGGCUAACUCCGUGCCAGCAGCCGCGGUAAUACGGAGGGUGCGAGCGUUAAUCGGAAUUACUGGGCGUAAAGCGCGCGUAGGCGGCUUGGUCAGUCGGAUGUGAAAGCCCCGGGCUUAACCUGGGAAUUGCAUUCGAUACUGCCAGGCUAGAGUAUGGGAGAGGGAAGUGGAAUUUCCGGUGUAGCGGUGAAAUGCGUAGAUAUCGGAAGGAACACCAGUGGCGAAGGCGACUUCCUGGCCCAAUACUGACGCUGAGGUGCGAAAGCGUGGGUAGCGAACAGGAUUAGAUACCCCCGUAGUCC